rnacentral:sRNA from 1 species
UAACAUUACUCCUGGACCUCAUUGCGGUCAC